UACAAUAUUUUGACUCUUUUUCUUAUUUAAAAAAAUUUUUACGAUUAAUAUUUUUAUUCUUACUAGAUGAUAAAACAUAAAUAAUAUUUUAUACGUGACUAUUUUUUUAAGUUUUUAUAUAAAAUUUUCAAAUAAGACGAAUAGUCAAAAGUUAGACACGGAAA
rnacentral:pre_miRNA from 1 species